rnacentral:rRNA from 1 species
UACGUAGGGUCCAAGCGUUGUCCGGAUUUAUUGGGCGUAAAGAGCUCGUAGGCGGUUUGUCGCGUCUGCCGUGAAAGUCCGGGGCUCAACUCCGGAUCUGCGGUGGGUACGGGCAGACUAGAGUGAUGUAGGGGAGACUGGAAUUCCUGGUGUAGCGGUGAAAUGCGCAGAUAUCAGGAAGAACACCCGUGGCGAAGGCGGUUCUCUGGGACGGUACUGACGCUGAGACGCGAAAGCGUGGGGAGCGAACAGG